UGAAAGAAUGAAAGAAUCUCUGAAGUGUUGAUUGGCUGUUUCUGGAACUUGGCCCAAGUUCCUACUACAGAUGUACCAUGUCCACUUUUCUCAGAAUUCAAGUUUCCUGGUUGGGCCCUGACUUAAAUGUGCAGUGUUAGAAAAAAGUGAAUUAUUUCACCCAAAUGAAGAAGCAACACAUUGUGCCAUUUGAAAUUCUCAAGUGAAGUGCAAAAGUUUCCUUGUCCGUUUACAAUCCACUUCUGAGUAAUCUGACCCAACGUCAUCAGAGAGAAAAUGGCUUCCUUGGGGAGUGCUGAAAGCAUUAGAGAGAUGUGACCAGAGAUCUCCGUCACACUGAUUCCUCCCUUACCUUGCCAGGAGCACUGGGCCAGCCUACAUUGGCUACUCAGCGCUUGUCGAGGUUGGGU
ensembl:lncRNA novel transcript